rnacentral:rRNA from 1 species
AUGGCUUCGCCUCAUCGGCGCCUCCUCCUCUUCACCGUCGUCGUCUUCCUCCCACAAGUGUUCUCCCAGCUCCCCAACAUCUGCGGGACAAAGGCCAAUGGCCGGUACGCCUGCCCUGACUGCUCCACCUCUACUGCAGCCACCUCAAACCGUAGCGCCGGCUUCGAAGCCAACCUCCUCCGGCUCCAGGCCUCUCUCCAACACAUGGCCGCCACGGACGCCAGCUUCCUGAACUCCACUUUCACCACGGGCGCCAGCGACACGGCGGACACGGUCUUUGGACUUGCCAUGUGCUUCGCAGACGCGGAGCGGUCCGACUGCUCUUCUUGUCUCGCUGGCGCGGCAGCUGAGUUGCCCGGGACCCGGUGCGCAGGCCGCAGGGAUAUUGUCCUCUGGUACGGGCACUGCCUCGUGCGCUACGAUGACGCCCCCUUCUUCGGCAGCGCGGACACGUCACCGGCGCGGCGGUUCGACGUGCCCAACCCCCACAACUUCUCCGAUCCAGUGAGCCUGGGUACGGCGCGUCAGAGGCUGGCCGGGCGGAUGCUCCCUGCCGCGGCGGCCUCGGCGCUCCGGUUUGCCUUUGACGCCGAGGAGGUCACACCAAACAUGACGCUGCAUGGGCUGGCACAAUGCACGGAGGACCUGUCCCCCGAGGAGUGCAGCCGGUGCUUGGCGUCGCACAUGGUCUGGCUCGCCGGAUGCUGCGCCGACAUGGACGGUGUCCGUCUAAACGGGCCCAACUGCUACCUGCGCUACGAGUUCAUGGCCUUCAUGCCCAGCAUGCCACCGUCCAUGGCACCCCUGCUACCUCCUCUUCCGGCGUCUGAACCAGGGACUCCCUCAGGGAGGAAGAAGGCUAGAACAUACAUACUUGCGGGGACCCUGAGUGCAUUGGCGCUGCUGUGCCUCUUUCUUCUGGGAGCAUUUCUGUAUUACAACAAGAAGUUUCAUGGCUCACUUCCUCCCAUGCCCUGGAAGAGGGACACACCGGCGAUCGAAUCCUUCCUGCGUCGGCAACAUCCGAGGAGGUACAGCUACUCGCAAGUGAAACGGAUGACGAAAUCUUUCUCCCACAAACUUGGCCAUGGCGGUAACGGUGUGGUCUACAAAGGCAGCCUCCUGGAUGGCCGCGAGAUUGCCGUGAAGAUGCUCAAGGACAACAGGGACGUCAAUGGCGAGGAUUUCAUGACUGAGGUCGCCAGCAUCAGCAGAACCUCCCAUGUCAACGUCGUCACACUGCUGGGAUUCUGCUUGCAGGGUAGAUCGAAAAGGGGACUCAUCUAUGAGUUCAUGCCGAAUGGCUCCCUUGAAAGAUACACUUCUGGGAGAGGCACUGAGCACAACUCACUUGGCUGGGAGACGCUGUUCGACAUUGCUGUCGGCAUCGCGCGAGGCCUCGAGUACCUGCACCGAGGUUGCAACGCGCAUAUUGUGCAUUUUGACAUCAAGCCUCACAACAUCCUCCUGGACCAGGACCUCCGGCCUAAGAUCUCUGACUUUGGACUGGCCAAGCUGUGCUCCCAAAAAGAGAGCACCAUCGCAGUGUCCAUCGCCGGAGCUCGGGGGACGAUUGGGUACAUCGCGCCUGAGGUGUUCUCCAGGGGAGUAGGGGCAGUCACCAGCAAGUCCGAUGUCUACAGCUACGGCAUGAUGAUUCUUGAGAUAUCUGGGGCUAGGAGGAACAUCGAUGAUGAUGAUUUUGCUGGUUCAGGGACAAGCAGCAGCAGCAGCAAGUAUUUCCCCCAGUGUUUAUACGAAGGCUUAGAUCAGUUCUGCGCAAGCGCUUGCGCGAUCGAUGAUGGCGAGGCGACCGAGUUGGUGAGGAAGAUGGUGGUGGUCGGGCUGUGGUGCGUGCAAAUCUCCCCUUCGGACCGGCCUUCCAUGACCAGAGUGCUCGAGAUGCUGGAGAAGAGCGCUGAAGAGCUUCAGCUACCACAACAUGCUCCGCGUGGACUUUGA